GGCUAUCGAUCAGCUUUGAACUGAAAAAGUUGUUCGAAUUGUAAUUUCCGUCUUUGGCAAAAUUUUUGUGCAACUCACCAAGAUGUUCUUGCAACCCCAAAAUUGGAUUUAAAAUGUUUAAUUUUAUAAAAGUCUAUAAAAAAGUGAAGAAAAAGGCCGAAUACAAUCUUACCUAAGAAUGGAGUUUUUCUCAUGUGCUACACGUGGUAUUUGUAACAAGGGUGAUCGUGACUUCACCGCAUUGUGGAUAAUGAUAGCUCUGGUUUGCACGGCACUAAUCCUUCUUAUUGUAUUUUUGGUUAUAUAUUUUGAGUAACUGUGGUGUACAAUAAAUGUGUAAACUUA
rnacentral:sRNA from 1 species